GACGAACGCUGGCGGCGUGCUUAACACAUGCAAGUCGAACGCAGUGGCGAACGGGUGAGUAACGCGUAAUCAACCUGCCCUUCCGAGGGGGACAACAGGUGGAAACGACUGUUAUUACGGCAUACUGUAGGAGGGGAUUGCGUCUGAUUAGCUAGUUGGAGGGGUAACGGCCCACCAAGGCGAUGAUAAGUAGCCGGUCUGAGAGUAUGAGCGGCCACAUUGGGACUGAGACACGGCCCAGACUCCUACGGGAGGCAGCAGUGGGGAAUCUUCCGCAAUGGACGAAAGUCUGACGGAGCAACGCCGCGUGAGUGAUGACGGCCUUCGGGUUGUAAAGCUCUGUUAAUCGGGACGCGGUACCGGAAUAGAAAGCCACGGCUAACUACGUGCCAGCAGCCGCGGUAAUAC
rnacentral:rRNA from 1 species